rnacentral:rRNA from 1 species
GAUGAACGCUAGCGGGAGGCCUAAUACAUGCAAGUCGAACGGUAAGGUCCCUUCGGGGAUACACGAGUGGCGGACGGGUGCGUAACGCGUACGAAACAUACCUUCAACAGGGAGAUACCUCCGGGAAACUGGAAAUAAUACCCCAUAGUAUUGAGAUAUCGCAUGAUAUUUUCAAUUAAAGACUUUGGCGGUUGAAGAUUGUCGUGCGUCUGAUUAGCUAGUUGGUGAGGUAACGGCUCACCAAGGCGACGAUCAGUAGCUGGUCUGAGAGGAUGAUCAGCCACACUGGAACUGAGACACGGUCCAGACUCCUACGGGAGGCAGCAGUAGGGAAUAUUGGACAAUGGGCGGAAGCCUGAUCCAGCCAUCCCGCGUGUAGGAAUAAAGGCCCUA